rnacentral:lncRNA from 1 species
GGCUAGUAGGAAAUUUCAACUUCAAAUGGUAAGUCGAUGCUAUAGCUCGGAGGGCAUUGAGGCUAGAUCGGCCGAGUAUUGCGUUGUAGGCAGACGGCACCCUUACUACCAGAAAAUCCACUUACGCUCUUGAUUGCUUCGGGUACCGAUCCACUACUACAGUUAAAGUUAUUACCCCUUCCACUGGCAUAGCAUCGCCAGUGAACCCUACCAAUGGGGAGCC